rnacentral:lncRNA from 1 species
UUAAACAUAAAUCUAAGCAUCGGAAAAUAAAAGUACCCAACAAAAUCUUUAGAAAGGGCACCAAGUGUUACUUCCAAAGAGGCAAAUUACUCAAAGUAAAAGGUGCGAAGAAUUAGAACCGGAUUGCUCAGUGAAUAAAAAUGGAAUUGUUUACCCCAUUUCAAACCACCGACACAAUUAUACAUUUGGUUGAGGAGGCUAAGCUAGAGAUCUGAAGACACACAAGUCUUCGCAUUGUUCUCCUUGAGCCAAGUUCCUUGAAACUCGCCCAGCCACCCUUGAGAAAACACUUGUCAAAUCCACACGCUCGA